GAUGAACGCUGGCGGCGUGCCUAAUACAUGCAAGUCGAGCGAACGGACGAGAAGCUUGCUUCUCUGAUGUUGGCGGCGGACGGGUGAGUAACACGUGGAUAACCUACCUAUAAGACUGGGAUAACUUCGGGAAACCGUAGCUAAUACCGGAUAAUAUUUUGAACCGCAUGGUUCAAAAGUGAAAGACGGUCUCGCUGUCACUUAUAGAUGGAUCCGCGCUGCAUUAGCUAGUUGGUAAGGUAACGGCUUACCAAGGCAACGAUGCAUAGCCGACCUGAGAGGGUGAUCGGCCACACUGGAACUGAGACACGGUCCAGACUCCUACGGGAGGCAGCAGUAGGGAAUCUUCCGCAAUGGGCGAAAGCCUGACGGAGCAACGCCGCGUGAGUGAUGAAGGUCUUCGGAUCGUAAAACUCUGUUAUUAGGGAAGAACAUAUGUGUAAGUAACUGUGCACAUCUUGACGGUACCUAAUCAGAAAGCCACGGCUAACUACGUG
rnacentral:rRNA from 1 species